GGCUGCAGCACAGCUCAGCUGGUAAAGUGCUUGCCUCGCAAGCAUGAGGUCCUGUGUUUGAUCCCCAGCACCCA
rnacentral:tRNA from 1 species